GUUUUUAUAGUUUAAAAAAAACAUUAAUUUUGUAAAUUAAAAUUAGUUAAUCUUAAAAACA
rnacentral:tRNA from 1 species